rnacentral:hammerhead_ribozyme from 1 species
AUCCAGACGACGAGUCCAAAACAGGACGAAAUGCGCAUCCCGGAU